CACGUAGGGCGCAAGCGUUGUCCGGAAUUAUUGGGCGUAAAGAGCUCGUAGGCGGUCUGUUACGUCUGCUGUGAAAACCCAGGGCUUAACCCUGGGCUUGCAGUGGAUACGGGCAGACUAGAGGCAGGUAGGGGAGAAUGGAAUUCCUGGUGUAGCGGUGGAAUGCGCAGAUAUCAGGAGGAACACCGAUGGCGAAGGCAGAUCUCUGGGCCGUAACUGACGCUGAGGAGCGAAAGCAUGGGGAGCGAACAGG
rnacentral:rRNA from 1 species